rnacentral:lncRNA from 1 species
GCCAAGCGGCCUUUUAAGAUCUGAAUUAAGUCACUGUUACGAAUGCAGGUAAACUUGGAAAUGAAACAAUGCAAUAGAGUAGUUUCAGAAUUGUUUGUGUUUCGUUUCAUGCCAGUAGUAGAUGUUCUUGUCAUUCAAAGUUCCCUCGAGCUUGAACCAGACUGCAGCUGUAGCGAAUGCAUGCAGCAAUUGCAGUGCGAGUAGUGCCAAG